ACGGGUAGCGGGUGUGAGAGCAUGACCCGCCUCACUGGGACUGAGACACUGCCCAGACUCCUACGGGAGGCUGCAGUCAAGAAUAUUCCUCAAUGGGCGAAAGCCUGAAGGAGCGACGCCGCGUGUAUGAAGACGCCCCUCGGGGUGUAAAGUACUUUUAUUAGGGACGAAACAAUGACGGUACCUAAUGAAUAAGGGGCUGCUAACCUCGUGCCAGCAGCAGCGGUAAUACGAGGGCCCCAAGCAUUAUCCGGAUUUAUUGGGCGUAAAGGGUACGUAGGCGGUUUAUUGCAUCUUUCGUUAAAUCUCAGGGCUCAACCCUGAGACCGCGGAAGAGAUGGAUAGACUAGAGGCCGGAAGAGGUACGCGGAAUUGCUGGUGUAGGGGUUAAAUCCGUUAAUAUCAGCAGGAACACCAAAUGCGAAGGCAGCGUACUAGAACGGACCUGACGCUAAGGUACGAAAGCGUGGGUAGCGAAUGGGAUUAGAUACCCCAGUAGUCCACGCCGUAAACGAUGGAUGCUAAGCAUUGGCAGUUUCGACCC
rnacentral:rRNA from 1 species